rnacentral:rRNA from 1 species
GACGAACGCUGGCGGCGUGCUUAACACAUGCAAGUCGAACGGAAAGGCCCCCAUCUUGGUGGGGGUGCUCGAGUGGCGAACGGGUGAGUAACACGUGGGUGAUCUGCCCUGUACUUCGGGAUAAGCUUGGGAAACUGGGUCUAAUACCGGAUAGGACCAUGGUUUAGUGUCUCAUGGUGGAAAGAUUAUUGUUUUGGUGCAGGAUGAGCUCGCGGCCUAUCAGCUUGUUGGUGGGGUAAUGGCCUACCAAGGCGUCGACGGGUAGCCGGCCUGAGAGGGUGGACGGCCACAUUGGGACUGAGAUACGGCCCAGACUCCUACGGGAGGCAGCAGUGGGGAAUAUUGCACAAUGGGCGCAAGCCUGAUGCAGCGACGCCGCGUGGGGGAUGACGGCCUUCGGGUUGUAAACUCCUUUCGUUAGGGACGAAGCCACGCUUUGUGGGUGUGGUGACGGUACCUUUGUUAAGAAGCACCGGCUAACUACGU